CAUAUAUGAUAUAAUGACAUUUAUUCCAUAAAUAUUAAUUUCAGGCCGGAGAUCUCAAGCACUACAUUAACUAAUAAAUAACAAAGUUUAUUUCAAAUGAGUAUACUUGCAAUGAACUUUGGAGAAGGAAUAUUUCAUAUACUACAUCAAAUAAUAAAACCAAUUGUUCCAAGGUGCCUGCCAGCCAUUAACCUUACAAAACCAUAUAUAUUUAUAUUAUAUCAUAAACAAUAUAAUAGUCCAAAACUCAGCGUCAUUAGCUUCCGAUAAAUCAAUUUGAUCUAGUUCACCAUUUUCAAUCCCAUCUCAAGAAUUUUCCUACAAAUUUAAAAUCGAAUUAAAAGUUAGAUAGAAACCAAUAUUAUACAAGUGCAAAUUCAAAUGAGCAUAUUUUCACCAAUCAAAAGCACAACACUAUUAAUAGUGAAAAAGUAGUACUACAGGGGCAGGAGACAAUGGCUGAGAGGACAAAUAGAAAGCAAUAGCCAUUUGACAUUGAGAGUAAUUUCUUAUGUGUUUUAGUGAGUACAUAUAGAACAGAUUACACCACCACAAGCGAAUAACUUUAUACAAUUCUAUUUAAGUUGUCCUUGUUAUUUAGGAGGACUACAAACUUAACAGUGACAUUCUGAUAAAAUAUGUAAUAACAUACUAUCUAACUUAGCACACUUCUAAUUGGGAAAUCCCAAGCUCAUUGCAGUCCACUUAUCUUCACCAAUCAGAUGCACAAUACACACUCCCCAAUAGCAAGGUGAGAAGUUCUUGGAGGGAAGGAUGCCGGGGGUCUAUUUGGAAACAGCCUCUCUACUCAAGGGUAGGGGUAAGGUCCGUGUACACACUACCCUCCCCAGACCCCACUACGUGGGAUUAUACUGGGUUGUUGUUGUUUAUUUGUUAGUUAAUCAAGCCAUGCAUAAGAAUUAUCAAUUUUUACACUAUAAAAGCCUUAAUCCAUCUACUUCUUCCCCAAAUCAACCCCUCUUCUUAACAUUUCUUCCAAACCUUGACUUAUAUGGUCAAGUUAUAGGAGAAUUGCACCAUGUAGAAUAGAAAAUCUUUCUCAGUAACCUACGCGACUUGCUAAAUCGAUGCUUUCUUGUUCCUCCCUACGUUCUAUCCGAAUCCUAUCAUUCUGACUAAUCUGAAUUCUUAUCACGUAGACCUAUUAAAGGUGGAUUGUUAUUGUUGUUGUUCAACAGUAGUAUAUGUUCCACAAUUCCAUGUGCAAGAAGCUUAAAAGAUAAACAAUUGUAUGCCUGGAUAGAAAAAUUACCAGAUAUUGCUUAAGUAACCUUGUAAAGUGCAUUUCUCUACUUUGUGUCCUCAACUACAUUUUGCCACUGUGUGUCUCUUUUCAUGUGGUUAUGGACCAACAACCUUAAUACCAAGAGAAAGUCCAAAUCACAUCAAAAUCAACUGGCUAGAUUGGCGUCUAGUUAGAUUGAUAAUAAAUUAUAUACUAGUAGUUAUUGUAAUAAAGUUAUAGCCAUUAUUUAUUAUUGUACCAAUAUUUACACGUGCAAUAGAGAUAAUUUGCAAGCAUGAACUAAGUAGAAUUUGCAAUAGGCAGUGAAUCUGCAAAUUUCUAUUUUUUUCCUGUAUCAAUAGAUGAGCAAAAUGUAGGUAAAAAAUAAAAUAUCAACAUAAUGAACCUAACCAUAGAAUUUAUAUUAUAUAAGUAAUAUUCUCAAGUAUGGAGAAACAAAAGGAACCUAACCAUAUAGUUAGAUUGCUAUCAUAACGUUAUUAGUGAGAUGAAAGAUUUUAAAUGUUGCACUAAGAAAAUAACAAUUUGAUUCAAAAAGUAUAAUAUUAACACUGAUCUUUAUAACAGUGGAGGGCAAUUCACUAUUUUGAUAGAUACAGUGUGUAAGUUUCAUGGUGGCAUUUUACUACGAAAAAUAAUGUAGAUGAUAACAGCUAGCCAGCUACAAGGUAAUAUCACAAAACCACAAAAUAAAUAGUUAUCUGACUGUGACCAUGACAAAACAUGCACUCGCUGAUAAAUCAAUGCACACCUGAUUUUUCCCAGAAUGAUAACAUAUUCAUACCUAUCAAAAUAAAAUUAGUAUAUUCAUGCUAAUCCAUUAUUAAACCUUUUAGUAGUGAGAAAAUAUAUAUCCAAAGAAAAAAAAAGGAUAAAACACAAACUAAUCACGACACAUUUUUUAAAGGAAAGAAGCUUUGAGCUGAAACCAUAGAAAAGAGUAGGAUAACAUUAUUCUCAGUAAUAAUUAACAUAAAUUCAAUAAAGAAAAAAAUUGAGAGGAGCAUCUACUUCAUCAAAAGGAAAGCAAUCAAGAUUGCAUAUGCCAUGGAGCUUUUAGUAGCAGAUAUCAUAUUUAGUUAAGCAAUUAAGCUAAAGAAGCCUCAUGAGAUUAUGAACGGAACAUUAUGGAGAUAUUUUUUUUGGCUAUUGUGGAAGCCACAAAUGCAUAUCCUAGGUUUAUUACUCUUUAAAAAAAUUAUUACCACCAUAUCCCAUCCCCCUUAAAUCUACGAUCAUCAAGUAAUGCACACAAGGAAAUUAAAGUUUCUUUUGUCCAAAAUCAAACUCUCACCUAUCUCUUCUAGAGAAGAAUUUUCAUUGUCGUUGAUGGUUAGAUCUACUUGUCUCGCCCCUGCAUAAACUGUUGAAAAUUGAAUUCACUUCAGUAUUAAGAUUUGGGUUGAUUUAUAAGGCAUAGAAGAACUUGAACGCAAACUAUUUUCUUUCAUAAUAGGACAAAAUAUUAUGAUUGAAACCUGUAAAUAUUAAGGGAAAGUAAGCACGAGAAGUCCUUAAACAAUCCUUUAAAGUGCAAUAAGGAUUUUUUUAUUUCAUAACUUUAAAUCCAUCAAGAUUUAGAGUGCAACACCAAAAAUCUAUACCAAAAUUGUAUUUAAUUCUUAGCAAAGAAAUUAAACACACAAAAAGUAAUAGCAAAAAAUGGAUUUAAUCGAAGUGAAUUUGACAAGAUCAGCACAUACAAAUAUUGAAGCAGAAUUAACCAUUUUCAGAAAGGAACGUAAGGUGCAGAAAAGUCGAUGGCGGCACUUGAUUGGGUGUUGCGGAGGAAGAGCCACCGAAGGAGCCAACACAAGUUGACUCAACACAAGUAUGGACUUGGUCACUGCAAGCGGACGGAGGAGUCGGAUUACGCGGAAAGGGAUUGGAAAAUUUCAAAGGAAAAAUAUUUUAGAUGCCUCUUCACAACUUCUUUGGAAUUUUUUUGUUGAAUAUUUUACAAUACACUUAUAAAGACUCACUUUUAGAAUGAAUAAACAAAACCCUUUAAAAGCGUUGCCUAAAUUCUGUGGCGUAACACUUUCAGCAAAUACCACUCCUUAAAAGCGUAAGGUCAAAUUUAUUGUAGCGGGGGCAUCGGUAUACUAUUCAAUCAGUACUUCUUAAAGGUUUUUAGUGUUCACGGUGUCAAAUAAUUUAAAUUAAUCAUUUUAAGUAUAUGUAUGCAUACACAAGAUUCAUAUGAAAAUUUAGGGAAUCCAAUGACCCCAAAAAUGCACAUAGGUACGCCUCUGUCUCUAGACUGUGUAUUUCUAUAAAUAUAGUUUUUGUAUGAGAUAUAUUGGAAUUUGGGAUACUAUCCGCUCUUCAUAUGCACUAGAACUGAUAUAUGUGUGCAUCCAUCAGAUGGUGGGCUUACAUUUUGUCCGGGAUUUGGACAGUUUUGGCAAGAGGCCUUAUCUGUUUCCCUUCGUCCAAUUUUGUUUGACAAUCCAUGUUAGGCAUUUCGUCAGCUGAGGUUGAAUGGUUGAUAAUUGUCUUUACACAGAUAGUAGCCGGAUUUAUUGUUUACUUUUUAAAUCUGUAUAUAUGUGAAUAGUUAUGUAUAACUAUUCACAUAUUCCUUAUGUCUCAAUUUAUGUAAUAGUGUUCAAAUAUCGAGAGUAAAACAAAUUAUUUUUUGACCG
rnacentral:lncRNA from 1 species